rnacentral:other from 1 species
UUUUCCCUGCCAUGCCCGUGGAGCCUGAAGAGUUCUUGAACCAACAGAAUCCUUAAAGGGUGUCCCGGUGGCCGGCGACGUCGCGCCGACUCGCCCUGAUCCAGGGCAGUCGGAGGACCGACCCGGUCGAAGGAACGCCCACCUGGCUCGCCAGGUCUCAAGAACCAACAGGCACACGGCAUUUCGGCGGGGAUGCU